UGGGGAAUUUUGGACAAUGGGCGCAAGCCUGAUCCAGCAAUGCCGCGUGAGUGAAGAAGGCCUUCGGGUUGUAAAGCUCUUUUGUCAGGGAAGAAACGGUUGGGGCUAAUAUCCCCGGCUAAUGACGGUACCUGAAGAAUAAGCACCGGCUAACUACGUGCCAGCAGCCGCGGUAAUACGUAGGUGGCAAGCGUUGUCCGGAUUUACUGGGCGUAAAGAGCGCGCAGGCGGCUGGUCAAGUCCGAUGUGAAAUCUCCCGGCUCAACUGGGAAACUGCAUCGGAAACUGAUCGGCUUGAAGGUGGGAGAGGGUAGUGGAAUUCCCGGUGUAGUGGUGAAAUGCGUAGAUAUCGGGAGGAACACCAGUGGCGAAGGCGACUACCUGGCCCAUUCUUGACGCUGAGGCGCGAAAGCUAGGGGAGCGAA
rnacentral:rRNA from 1 species